CCAAUUGAUUGAUGGUGCUUGCACCUGAUUGAUUUUCGUUUCCAACGAGUGGCGGACGGGUGAGUAACACGUAGGUAACCUGCCCAGAAGCGGGGGACAACAUUUGGAAACAGAUGCUAAUACCGCAUAACAACGUUGUUCGCAUGAACAACGCUUAAAAGAUGGCUUCUCGCUAUCACUUCUGGAUGGACCUGCGGUGCAUUAGCUUGUUGGUGGGGUAAUGGCCUACCAAGGCGAUGAUGCAUAGCCGAGUUGAGAGACUGAUCGGCCACAAUGGGACUGAGACACGGCCCAUACUCCUACGGGAGGCAGCAGUAGGGAAUCUUCCACAAUGGGCGCAAGCCUGAUGGAGCAACACCGCGUGAGUGAAGAAGGGUUUCGGCUCGUAAAGCUCUGUUGUUAAAGAAGAACACGUAUGAGAGUAACUGUUCAUACGUUGACGGUAUUUAACCAGAAAGUCACGGCUAACUACGUGCCAGCAGCCGCGGUAAUACGUAGGUGGCAAGCGUUAUCCGGAUUUAUUGGGCGUAAAGAGAGUGCAGGCGGUUUUCUAAGUCUGAUGUGAAAGCCUUCGGCUUAACCGGAGAAGUGCAUCGGAAACUGGAUAACUUGAGUGCAGAAGAGGGUAGUGGAACUCCAUGUGUAGCGGUGGAAUGCGUAGAUAUAUGGAAGAACACCAGUGGCGAAGGCGGCUACCUGGUCUGCAACUGACGCUGAGACUCGAAAGCAUGGGUAGCGGACAGGAUUAGAUACCCUGGUAG
rnacentral:rRNA from 1 species